AAAUUGAAGAGUUUGAUCAUGGCUCAGAUUGAACGCUGGCGGCAGGCCUAACACAUGCAAGUCGAACGGUAACAGGAAGCAGCUUGCUGCUUCGCUGACGAGUGGCGGACGGGUGAGUAAUGUCUGGGAAACUGCCUGAUGGAGGGGGAUAACUACUGGAAACGGUGGCUAAUACCGCAUAACGUCGCAAGACCAAAGAGGGGGACCU
rnacentral:rRNA from 10 species